rnacentral:rRNA from 1 species
AUUGAACGCUGGCGGAAUGCUUUACACAUGCAAGUCGAACGGCAGCACGGGGGCAGCCCUGGUGGCGAGUGGCGAACGGGUGAGUAAUACAUCGGAACGUGCCCGGUCGUGGGGGAUAACGUAGCGAAAGUUACGCUAAUACCGCAUACGAUCUGAGGAUGAAAGCGGGGGACCUUCGGGCCUCGCGCGAUCGGAGCGGCCGAUGUCAGAGUAGGUAGUUGGUGGGGUAAAGGCCUACCAAGCCGACGAUCUGUAGCUGGUCUGAGAGGACGACCAGCCACACUGGGACUGAGACACGGCCCAGACUCCUACGGGAGGCAGCAGUGGGGAAUUUUGGACAAUGGGCGCAAGCCUGAUCCAGCCAUUCCGCGUGCAGGACGAAGGCCUUCGGGUUGUAAACUGCUUUUGUACGGAACGAAAAGGCUCUGGCUAAUACCUGGGGCUCAUGACGGUACCGUAAGAAUAAGCACCGGCUAACUACGUG